AUUAUAAAACUAAAAAUAUAGUAAACCUAAAAUCUAAAAGUUAUAUCUGUAAAUAUAAAAUUUUACAAAACUAAACUAAACCCCUAUUGUAAAAAACUAGUAGAAAAAAAAAUUGCAGGGAGAGGAAAAUCAUGGUAGCGAUUGUGGUGGCCACCGGAACAGUAACGAGGCGGAGGAACUUGUAAGGGUUUUCGCUGUGAAUGGUUGGGUUUGCGGUGUAGAUUGUGAGGGAGAAUCGAUGAAGGUUUCGUGAGGAAGAUGGUGAAGUGAGGAAAAUGAAGGGUGGCGGCGGAUUUAGGGUUGGAGUGAGGAAAUGAGUGAUGGCUAAAGAGUGAAGUCCUCCUCCGAAUUUUUCGUUUUCAAAUUCUCUCCGCCUCCCCUCAUUGCCUUCUUUUUUUCUCUCUCACCAACUCGUCUCCUUUUAUGCUCACAGAUUAGGGUUCUUGGAUUUGGUAUUCAAAAGCUCAAAGAAGCAAAUUCCGGAAGUGCUUUUGGAUGCUCAGAAUUGGAGUGCCUUCUUUGAUCAUUGGACUCGGAAAGGUGCAUUUCAUGGAGCGCCAUAACUGACCCGUCUGCCUUCACUUUCAAAUUGAUCAAUCGAAAGCUGUCUAACCAUGCCACCUAAUGCUUCACCAGUCUCUGCAGCAACAACUACAGCUCUAUGAUGCAGCCGAACUCCGCCAGAAACAUUGUUAUUUGACCCUACAGAAUCAAGCUUAAUCGGGGAAGAUGCGUGUUUGACACUUGGGGUAGCCUCAGCCCCACGGUUUCUGUCAGGAUAGAGCAUGCCAUCUUAAUUACUUGCUCGCAUGGUUGCACUCAAGUAGAAUUUUUCCAGCCUGUGGAUAGACUUCUUGUUUUGUACUUCCUUGAUAACUCCAUGGCUGCAUGUUGUUGUUGCUGCAU